AUUGAACGCUGGCGGCAGGCCUAACACAUGCAAGUCGAACGAGUGGCGGACGGGUGAGUAAUUUCUGGGAACCUGCCUGAUGGAGGGGGAUAACUACUGGAAACGGUAGCUAAUCCCGCAUACCAUCCGUUGUGCCCAGAUGGGAUUAGCUUGUUGGUGGGGUAACGGCUCACCAAGGGGACGAUCCCUAGCUGGUCUGAGAGGAUGACCAGCCACACGGGAACUGAGACACGGUCCAGACUCCUACGGGAGGCAGCAGUGGGGAAUAUUGGACAAUGGGCGAAAGCCUGAUCCAGCAAUGCCGCGUGUGUGAAGAAGGUCUUCGGAUUGUAAAGCACUUUAAGUUGGGAGGCGUUACCAACAGAAUAAGCACCGGCUAACUUCGUGCCAGCAGCCGCGGUAAUAC
rnacentral:rRNA from 1 species